rnacentral:piRNA from 1 species
UGGGACAAUAAUCGGGGCCUCUGUUUUGC